AGUUAAAGCCCAGUUUAAAAAGAGUCAAAAGGCCGAUAAACACAGUUCAAAACUCAAGAGUCAAGAGACACCAACCUGAGCUUGGCAGGAAAUGGGGCGGGGUUGAGUUCCUUCAUCUUUUUACAUCUUUGAUCAUGAGAUCACGUUUCUCACAUUUCGGGUAAAGUUGCCUCCUUUUCAUCUUUUGCUUAGUUUGGUUCAAAUCAAUCAAUGAGUGCCUUUGUGUUUCAUUCUGAGCUUGUUGUUAUUUUCUAAGAAAUUUUGAGCUGAUAGAUAGAGUAGGGUAGAAGAAAUGCGUGUUCAGACCGGCAAGAAGAAAAGGGUAGAAAAAAUGGGUUCGAUUGAUAGGAUCAGUGCAUUGCCUGAUGAACUAGUUCGUCACAUACUUGCCCACAUUAGAUUCUGUGAGGACCUCCGUUUUGUAACAACUUGUGGACCUCGGUUCCCAAUCUGGACUUGUACGACCGAAGAGAUUUUCCUGCUGAUGAUGAUGUUCGGCUUCGUCGCCCUCGUUGUGAUCGUUUUGCAAGGUUUGUCAGCAGUGUGCUCUAUUCAAGGGACGCAAUAGACAUAGGCAAAUUCUCUCUGUCGGUUGGCACUUGGCACACCCCAUCAUUUACCUGUCAUUGAGGAUUGGAUUUGCGCUGUUGCUAGGCGUAAUGUUGUUGAAUUACAACUUGCAUUCCAUGUGCCUAGUAUUUUUUGGAUACCUCGGUGCAUAUUCAUGUGCAAGAGACACUGAGGGUUUUGGGGCUGUACCUGUGGGAUUUCGACUUUGCUACUGAUCCUCCUACAUCAGGCUGUUUCCCAAGUCUGAAGGUCCUCCACGUUAGAGUUUCUAGUGAUAAUCUAUAUUUAAUGGGGAAGCUGUUUUCUUGCUGCCCUGUGCUUGACUAUUGACGGAAAAGUGAAAAAUGGAGACACUGAUAUAGGUUACAAUUUCAAUGUUUCUGUGCCUCAAGUGAAGACGCUGAACAUAAGUCUUCAACUGGGGAUGGCAAGGCCAAGAAGAGGUCAUGAGUAUGAACAGUUUGAGACUCGUAUCAAUGUUUAUAUCGAUGCCCCAAAGCUUGAAAAACUUGAUCUCAAAAAGGAUGGUUUCACAAAUUAUGUUCUCAUGGGGAGAGCCAAGUCCCUAGUUAAUGCCAGUAUUGAUGUCAGAGAUUCUAGAGCCAAAAAUCCACCUCACUUUCCCUCUUGUGCAACUGCGCUUCUGGUUGGAAUUUCUAAUGUGAAAUAUCUGUCUCUUUUGGCUCCUUGGUCAAAGGAUUGGCGUCUCCCUGCUUUUGAUCAUUUGAAACAACUACUGGGAAGUAGUUCUUGUGGAUUGCAAUUACUGGGAAGUGCUGCCUGAGUUUCUGCACUGUGCACCUAAUCUCGAAGAUUUGGUCUUAGAAAAUGUAACUGAAUGUGUGAGACAAUAUCCAAAGUGUGAAUGGGAUCUACCAAAGGAUGUGCCUAUUUGCUUGUUGUCACACCUGAAGACUAUCUCCAUAAGUGGAUUCAAGGGACAGUGGGCUGAGAGGGAGAUAGCCAAGUAUCUCUUGAAGAAUGGUUCUUUUUUGGAUAAGAUGCUGAUUUACACAGACGGUGUGUAUGCGGUACGAGACUUUCACAAGGAGUUUUCAAUGUUCCAUAGGAUGGUUAAGUUCAUUCAGAUGUAAAUUUAGAUUUCACGAGGUUUUCAGUUCAUCUCAUGGUUUUGGAAGAUCUGUAAUCAACCUUGCAGUCUCUUGGUGGAAGUUUUGGCAUGCUUGUUAGAGACUGGGGAAAACAUCCUCAAUUGCAGAAAAACAGUACUGUUUGAAACUA